rnacentral:rRNA from 1 species
UACGAAGGGAGCUAGCGUUGUUCGGAAUCACUGGGCGUAAAGCGCACGUAGGCGGAUGUGUCAGUCAGGGGUGAAAUCCCGGAGCUCAACUUCGGAACUGCCUUUGAUACUGCGGGUCUCGAGUCCGGGAGAGGUGAGUGGAAUUCCUAGUGUAGAGGUGAAAUUCGUAGAUAUUAGGAAGACCACCAGUGGCGAAGGCGGCUUGCCAGAACGCGCUCGACGGUGAGGGAUGAAAGCUGGGGGAGCAAACCGG